GGACCAACACGGAGAAAAGAGCAGAACUAAAGGAGAGAACAGUCCAGAAGGUGAAGUCUACCAGUCAGCUCCACCUGGAAAACCACCGUCGGCAGUGACACUACUCCUUCUUCAGAAAACUUUUGCUGGAUUUUCCUCCAUCCUGAAGCCCAAGCCCAGCGGGAAGCACACAGUGGGUCCAGAUGAGCUGUCAAUCAACUGGAGCAGCUAAGAGAAGAGCAGACGGUCUGACUGGACAUGGACCACACACCAUAUGUCCUGGUUUUCCUCUGCAUGUCCAUUCAAGGGCUCCUGUCUGAAAACAACAGCACUUCAACAGG